rnacentral:lncRNA from 1 species
AUACAAUGUAUAUUUCCUUCUCUUCCCACCUAGUUUGGAUCUCAUUAUUACCAAAAAGGAAACAUUGGUUGCUGAGGCAGAAAAGAAAGCAAGCUUGGAAAGAAGCAACUGCUAACAUGUUCCAACUAAAGUGAGGAGCAUAGAUUUAGAGCUGGAAGGGACCUUGGAGGGCAUGGAGCCCAAUCCAACCACUUCACAUGGGAGAAAAUGGAAACUCAUCAAGAGGCAGCCCUCCCUCUAUGAGGAGCGAUGGAUUUACCCUGUUGCCUGGAGACUGGACUCAAACAGAGACCCAGAGAGAGCACCCAGGGUGUUGGCUCAGGAGGGGUUAAGAACGAGUCCUGGAGUGGAUAACUCCCGGAGCGGAUAAUGGAGCAGAGUAACCCCAGCAAAGUGAAGCCUCAGCUUGAGCUGGAGGAGACGACAGGAAGAAGGCAACGUCUGCGGACCCCCAUCCCCAGGCAGGAUUUACCUCCCGCCGCAGUGCUCAGGCUGCCUCCUGCUGGAUUAAUAUUUCUCAACAUAUAAUUAAAUAUUGUUUUUGUGAUUAAUCACUAUGUUUAAAUUAUGUUUGAUUU